GAAUGGGGUAACCUGGCUAAAUGAGAAUUAAUGAACCCACACUCAUAAGUUUUCAUUGACUUAGCACCAAGUCGUCCAUCAAAUAUCAUCAGAUCUGAGAAUGCUCUUAUGGAUAUCUGAUUUUUAGAGGCUGGCAUUCAUAUUUUUAAAAACUGCCACCUGUGACCACACUGCAGGCCAAACAGAAUGUACCUGCUGGUCAGAUGCAGCCCAGAGGUCACUGAAUUGCAACCUCUGGACUCUCGGUCAGAGGCAAGCAGCCCUUAUUCCAGAACUCCACAGUCCUUCACACCCUUCCCCAGACCUACACCAAGACCAACUAAGUGGUCAAAAGGUGGACAAACUGAGAGUUGUAUCAAGGCCCUUAGCCUCUCAAUUUGUUAUCAAGUUUCCCUUUCUGAAUCUAUUUACCCUGAAGUAUAAAUACCCAAGAUGAGCCUUAAGAGUGCCUGGUAGAGCAAACAAAGAUGCAUCUUAUAGGGAGCAAAGUCUAUGCUAACGCAGUGUUUCUCAAUCCUGGCUGCACCUUUGAACCACGGGAGCUUUAAAAGUGACCACUGCAAGGGCCCUACCCACUAUGGAUCCCAAUUUCAUUGGUUGGGAGAGGGGCCAAGUUUGUUUCCAACUUCCCCAGAUGACUCUAAUGGCUGAGAGUUGCAAUCAACAGGUAAGUGAAUAUCCAGGCUGUAAGAUGAAGAAAGAGGGGGUUGUGCCCAAGCCCACUGUGCCUCAUAAAGCAGAUGAUCUCUGCAGCGCUGCGCUUCUCAAAGAGUGGUCCCAGGACUGCCUCAGUCAGACCACAGACUCCUAAGUUCCUCCUCAGACUUCAUGGAUCCAAGCUCUGUGAGGUAAUUCUAAGCACAUUAAACUUGUAGAACAGCCAUCUGGAUUUAAUAUUACAUAAUAGCUAUAAUAUUCUGCUAUUCUCUAAUCUUCAAUGUCAGUUUCUUAAACUGUCAGGCCUGUCUUUAGAUGCCCUUCAACUGUGCUGGGGACUAUCUUGAUGGCAGCCAGCAAAGAAAAUCAGCAAAAACCCCAGUGGAGUUUCUGGGUUUUACUUUUGUUAAGGAAGGUGAUGGUUUCUUGACAUGACAGGUAUCUAGGUGGAAAGGGCAAAGUGCUAAUGCAAACACAAUGGAGACACUAUGGAAUAGCUCUGCCUAGGGACAUGUGGAAGAGCUUCUAGGAGACAGUGUGGACCUUUCCAUCCCUAGAGGUCUUCACAAGAUAAAUUCCUACCUCCGUCAGUAUUCAAAAGGUUUUAGCAUCAAUACUGUCUGAGAAUAAGACAUUAGACUUGAGUCAGUCCCCUGGCUUCAAUCCCAGGAUGCCAAGCAGCCUCUAAUGGAGACCGCUGGCUUAAUCGUGCUCCUUUCCUGGCAUAACAACUCACUGCACCCAUGCCUCACCACCACGAAGCAGUCUCCUCACCACCCAAAUGUGCCUUGGGUGACUUAAAUACAGCCAUUAGUAUGAAUGGUCCCCUGUUUUUAUUCAACACCACACCAGUCUUUGCUUUUACCUUCGGCUAAUGUGGUUCCAGCCUUUUAUCCUGCACUCCUUCUUAUAAUUUAAAAAAAAAAAAAACUCCCCUACUAUCUUUAUGUUAAUAUUAACAUCAACUAGGUUCUUCUCAAAGGACAGCCAGGCCUAACUGGCCACGUUAAAAUCUGCACAGUGCUUUUGUGUCACUGUCUAUUCUAUUAGUUUCAACAUCAUGCUAAAAUAGGACAGCAUGUUCCAAAACUGAAACUGAAACAGGAACGGAGCCUUGCUGAUUUAGCAUGAGGAGGGAAUUGUAAGCCUUGCACCUGGACACUAAAACUUUUCAAUAAGAUGUAUGCUAAGCCGUACCUAGCAAACUUACCAGGUCCAAAGUAGAGUACAAGCAGAAAGUUAUUUUUAAAGGAUGGGCACUAUCCUUGAGGGACUUACCCUUUCUAAUCAGCUUUGCAUGGUUUGUUUUGAGACAGUGUCUCACUCUGUUGCCCAGGCUAGAGUGCAGCGGCACCAUCACAGCUCACGGCAGCCUCUGCCUCCCGGGCUCAAGCAAUCCCACCUCAGUUUCCCAAGUAGCUGGGACUACAGGCACACACCACACUCAGCUAAUUUUAGUAUUUUUUGUAGAGACAGGGUCUCGCCAUGUUGCCCAGGCUGGUCUCAAACUCCUGGAUUAUCUCCCUGGCCCUGCAUUAAAAAAGAUGUGCAACAACUUA
rnacentral:lncRNA from 10 species